rnacentral:lncRNA from 1 species
AUCUUUCAUUUUCUGAACGCCAUGUCUGGUUAUUCCCAGAACUUCACCCUAUGAUAGAAAAAGAAUUAUCCAUUAAACUUGUUAAUCGGAUAUUAAAGGAGUCCAACAUGUUUUUGGAUGAAGAAAUUUUUUCCAGGAGCAUUACCUUAUAUGUCAUCAGAUCUGCUAGAAGCAUCAUGUGCCGCAAGUCUAUUGUCAUCCCA